UACGUAGGGGGCAAGCGUUGUCCGGAUUUAUUGGGCGUAAAGAGCGUGUAGGCGGCCAGACAGGUCCGUUGUGAAAACUCGAGGCUCAACCUCGAGAUGUCGAUGGAAACCGUCUGGCUAGAGUCCGGAAGAGGAGUGUGGAAUUCCUGGUGUAGCGGUGAAAUGCGCAGAUAUCAGGAAGAACACCAGUGGCGAAGGCGGCUCACUGGCCCGGUACUGACGCUGAGGUGCGAAAGCGUGGGGAGCAAACAGG
rnacentral:rRNA from 1 species